CCCCUAGAUGUUCUGGGCCGCACGCGCGCUACACUGAACAGUUCAACAAGUCUUAACCUUGGCCGAUAGGUCUGGGUAAUCUUUGAACGCUGUUCGUGAUUGGGAUAGACCUUUGCAAUUAUGGGUCUUCAACGAGGAAUUCCUAGUAAACGCAAGUCAUCAGCUUGCAUUGAUUACGUCCUGCCCUUUGUACACACCGCCCGUCGCACCUACCGAUUGAAUGGUCCGGUGAAAUCUCGGGACGGCGGCUUGGUCGCUUGCGUCCGACUGCUGAAACUUGAUUAAACCAUAUCAUUUAGAGGAAGGUGAANUCGUANCA
rnacentral:rRNA from 1 species